UACACAUGCAGUCGUGCGGUAAUAGAGGAACAUUUCUAACGAGCGGCGAACGGGUGAGUAAUGUAUGGGGAUCUGCCCAAUAGAGAGGAAUAACUAUUGGAAACGAUAGCUAAUGCCUCAUAAUCUCUGAGGAGCAAAGUAGGGGAUUUUAGAAAUAAAACCUUACACUAUUGGAUGAACCCAUAUGAGAUUAACUAGUAGGUAAGGUAAUGGCUUACCUAGGUUACGAUCUCUAGCUGGUCUGAGAGGAUGAACAGCCACACUGGGACUGAGACACGGCCCAGACUCCUACGGGAGGCAGCAGUGGGGAAUAUUGCACAAUGGGCGAAAGCCUGAUGCAGCCAUGCCGCGUGUAUGAAGAAGGCCUUAGGGUUGUAAAGUACUUUCAGUUGGAAAGAAAGUAAUAAUGCUAAUAUCAUUAUUAUCUGACGUUACUAACAAAAGAAGCACCGGCUAACUCCGUGCCAGCAGCCGCGGUAAUACGGAGGGUGCUAGCGUUAAUCGGAAUUACUGGGCGUAAAGCGCACG
rnacentral:rRNA from 1 species